AUAUCGUCCAACAAAGGAGAAGCAAUGACAUCUGUUCAGGAUUGAUUUGAUGAAUUGUCCGACAAAGGAUUAAGUCAGCCAAUCAAGGCAGAAUAGUAGUUAAUCAAGGUAGGUGUGUAGACGACAUAACACGAUAAAUAGUCGAUCACUUAAUUACCUAAUCAAUCCAGCCUAUUAUCAACGAUAAUCGGGUUGCACGGUAGUUAUACACUCAGUACACUAUAUUAAUUUUGGAAUUUGAAUAUUAUUCACCAUGUCUUGAUGUCCGAUUGGGCAUAUUCCCGGUCGGACAAUUUUGGGCGUUUCGAAAAAAGAUUCGGACAAGUCCGGAAUAUACGGGUAAAAUCCCAUCACUGGUCCAACCUAUACCUAUUGUCAUAGUUCUCAUGCCUCUAAUUCCUGUAAAAUUGUUACAAGUGUACAAGCCAGAAAAGAGAUUCUGAGAAGAUCCAAAAGAUGUUACAUCUGUCUCAGAAAAGAACAUUUUAAUAGAAGUUGUGAUGGUAAAAACUGUCAAAAAUGUGGACAGAGACAUAUAAGUAUUUGUUCUCAACUCCACCCUGACUUCAAUAAUCGAUCAGAAAAUCCAAGAUAUGCAAAUUAUAGCCAAGAUUUUAGGUAUCAAGUUCCGCAAUCCCAGACUGCUAAUUAUUAUCAACCCAUGCCCAACCAGGUUACACUCCAAGGAAUGAUUACUAUAAUGAGCCUGCAAGAACUCAGAAUGCCAAUCCCAGUUAUAAAUUUCCAAAUAAUGGUCAACACCGUUAUCCACCCACACAACAACAGCAGCCGUCACAGUCAAGAGGCAAUAACCCAUAUCAAUCAACGAAUCCAGCUCAGAACAGCCUCACAAAGUUAUAUUUUGAAUCCACGACUCCUGUUCUAUUACAAACGGCCUAAUGCCAUGCAUUUCAUCCAGAUAGUUAUUUUAGAAGAACAGUUAUAAGACUUUUAUUAGACAGUGGUAGCCAGAGAACAUAUAUCACCAUGAAACUUCGAAAUUAUCUGGGUUUGCCGACAAUUGCUAAAAGAGACAUAAUCAUAAAGACGUUUGGUUCAUCCAAAGAAACAAGACAUAUGCGAACUAUUAACCUGUCAAACUUUAUACCAGGCCAAGCAGUAUUUUCCACAAUUGCCAAAUAUAUCGUUUGCUGAUAGCUGUUUGCCAGAAAGUAAUGUUGAGAUAGACUUAUUGAUAGGAUCCGACCAAUAUUAGAGUGUUGUCACCGGAGGUAUCAUACGGGGGGAGUCAGGACUCUCAGCCAUUUGUACGAAAUUAGGAUGGGUAUUAUCAGGACCAUUACACACUAGUGAUGUAUCCAUUGAAGAAAAUACAAACUUUAUCACUACCCAUGUAUUAAAGUGUGAUACCCAAUUAGAAGCUAGUAUUUCGUCAAACCAAUCAGAACUUGAAACCAGUCUUCAUAAAUUCUGGGACUUGGAGUCAUUAGGCAUUAAGCCAAGAUCUGUUUAUGAAGAUUUGAGUGAAUCAAUAAUGUUUAAAGAUGGACGAUAUCAAGUACAUCUACCAUGGAAAACCCCUUAUCCCUUGUUGCCUGAUAAUUAUUUGACUUGUUUCAAACGUUAUGAAAGUUUAAUCAGGAGACUCAACAAGGAACCUGAAAUUCUCAAAGAAUAUGACAAGACCAUUAAGGAUCAGCUCAAAAAUGGAAUCCUGGAAGUUGUUGAAGAUAGCAAUAUUGGAGAAGUUGGUAGAACUCAUUAUUUGGCCCAUCAUUGUGUUAUACGUGAGGAUAAGGAAACCACAAAACUCAGAAUUGUGUUUGACGGGUCAAAUAGAAAUCCAGGUCCUUCUUUAAACGAUUGUUUGCUAGUAGGCCCCCCACUGACACAUUAUUUAUUAGAUAUUCUUUUGAGAUUCAGAGUAAAUCGAAUUGGACUCACCGGUGACAUCAAAAAGGCAUUUCUCAUGGUAUCCAUAGCAGAAGAAGACCGAGAUGUAAUAUUUAUUUGGACCAAGGACAUUCAUGAUCCUAAUUCACCAUUUCAUAUUUUACGGUUUACCAGAGUGACAUUUGGUGUGUCAUCCAGUCCGUUCUUUUAAAUGCCACAAUAAAAUUCCAUAUGGAACAGUUCUUGGAAGAUGACCCAAACUUUGUCAAGAAAUUCAUGGAAUCAAUUUAUGUUGACGAUCUAAGUUCAGGUGCCAAUACCGUGGAUAAUGCGUAUGAAUUCUAUAAAAAAUCUAAGGAUAGGCUCACUAUGGCAGGUUUCAACUUACGGAAAUUUGUUAGUAAUUCAUCAGAACUCAUGGAUCGAAUCAAUACCAAUGAGUCGUUAUCGGAUGAUUUGAAACCCCAAGAAACUGUUAUUCAUGAUAAUCAUAUUAUUAGUGAUGAAGAUAGUUAUACCAAAAUUUAUUUUGGUUCAUCGGACAUUAACAGUGAACAAAGGAUACUAGGUGUAAGGUGGAAUUAUAUCUUGGACUUAUUCGUUUUUGAUCUCCAAGAAAUAGCCGAUUUAGCAAAAAAUUGUGUUCCCACCAAAAGAAACAUUGUAAGUCUGGCUUCUAAGAUAUUUGAUCCUUUUGGGUAUUUAUCACCAGUAACAAUCCAGUUCAAAAUGUUAUUCCAAGAACUCUGUAAGUGUGAUUAUGAUUGGGAUAAUGAACUCAAGGGAGAUAAUCUAGAUCACUGGACCACUUUAGUGGAAUCAUUACAAACCAAAACUACAUAUUUUCUUCCAAGAUGUUUAUUUUAUGGCGUUUCCGAAGCAGUCAUAAGUAUUUCAUUACAUGGCUUUUGUGACAGUUCCAUGAAGGCUUACGGUGCAGUCAUUUAUCUUAGAAUUGAAACUACAACAAACUGUUAAAUUCGAUUUCUGGUCUCAAAAACUCGAGUUUCACCCAUAACUCAACACACCAUACCACGUUUAGAGUUAUUAUCUGCUCUUGUAUUGGCCAGGUUAAUGGAGAGUGUAGUCAAGGCCUUAUCAGACCAAUUAGAUAUCCAAAAACUCUAUUGUUGGACCGAUUCAAAGGUAUCAUUAUAUUGGAUCAAAAGCAUACACUGUGAAUAUAAACAAUUUGUUCAAAACCGUGUAUCAGAGAUUCGUAACCUCACACCAAUUCACAGUUGGGGUCAUUGCUCAGGAAAAUCAAAUCCAGCAGACAUUUUAUCUAGAGGGAUAUCACCAUUAGAUCUCUUAACCAAUACAUUGUGGCAAAAUGGACCAAGUUGGUUAAGUCAAUUCACAGACACUACAGGUAGCGGAACUGACAAGCCCGAUAUAAUUCCAAAUGAAUGCAUCCAGGAAAUGAAAAUUCAGGAACGAGAUCGUGUCACCACUAGUCUCAUGAUUACAGAUUUGUUAAAUACUCACAUCAGUCAAAUUAUCAAUUGUGAGGACUUCAGUGACUAUAAUCGCCUAAUCCUUGUAACCAGUUAUAUACAUAUACAAUCUGGGGGGUUGGAUGGCUGAAUGGUUAGCGUGCGCGCGCUGUAUCAUAAAGUCUGUCAUUGAGUCGACUGGCGUGAUUUCGAAUCCCCGGUUGUACGUGGCAAGGAGUAGAGUCGCCUGUCCAACCUCGUGGGUUUUCUCCGGGGCCUCCGGUUUCCUCCCACUGCUAAAGACCCCUACGCGCAAGUGAAUUAUGUAAAUAAAAUUAAACCAUAUGUUAGUCCCGAAAUGACCUAGUUUGUGUCGAGUGGAUGUUGAACCACAUUUCUCUCUCUCUCUCACAUAAACAAUCUCAAAGCCAAAUCAAGGGAAACUCGGAAUUUAGCAACUCAUUUGACUCCAGACGAGCUCAAUAAAUCCGAGAAUUUAUGGUUAAAGGACAACCAAUCAGGUUUAAUCAAUAAUUCAAAGUUCAACCAGUGGAAGCAUGAGUUUGAUUUCUUCACUAGCCACGACGGGUUAAUCAAGUGCCAAGGUAGACUUCAAAAUGCAGAAAUUUCUGAUUCAUUCAAAAAUCCAAUUAUCUUGAACUCACAACAUCAUGUGACCCUAUUAAUAGUUAAAGAAUGUCAUAAUCGUGUCAUGCAUGGAGGAGUAAAAUCCACAUUGACUCAGCUAAGAUCGAAAUUUUGGAUUAUAAGAGGACGCCAAUUUGUACGGAAAAUCAUAUUCCGGUGUGUCGCAUGUCGAAAAUUUGAUGCUAAGCCAUAUCAAGUGUUAGUUCCGCCCCCACUUCCUUCAUUUCGUGUCAAUGAAUCUACACCUUUUAGUCACACAGGAGUAGAUUUUGCUGGACCUUUGUAUGUGAAAACGCAAACCCAAGAACUUCAAAAGGUAUGGAUUGCCUUAUUUACCUGCUGUUCCACACUUGCCAUCCACUUAGAAUUACUACCAGAUCUAACAACAGAAUCAUUUCUUCGCUGUUUCAAACGUUUUGCUGCCAGAUACGGAACUCCAAAUGAAAGUCAUCUCUGAUAACGCGAAAACCUUCAUAUCCGCGUCAGAACAACUCCAGAAAUUCACGGAUGAUCCAGUUAUUAGGAAUCAUUUUUCCCAGGAAAGAAUUAAAUGGUCUUAUAAUCUCGAGAAAGCUCCGUGGUGGGGAGGCAUUUUCGAAAGACUCAUAAAAUCCACAAAAAGAUGUUUACGGAAAUUCGUUGGAAAUGCCAAAUUAUCAUUUGAUGAACUCUUAACUGUUAUUGUAGAGAUCGAAACCAUUCUUAAUUGUAGACCACUAUCAUAUGUGUCAACCGAAGACUGGGAAGAACCUUUAACCCCCUCACAUUUACUUUACGGUCGUCGCAUACUCGGAUUACCAAGCGAAACAAAGGACUUAACUAAAGACUUUAAUCCAGUGAAACCAAUCGAAAUGCGAAGAAGACUUAAUCAUUUAUCUAUGAUAUUAAAUCACUUUUGGUCAAGAUGGAAGGGGGAAUAUCUUUUAGAACUUCGUAAUUCUCAUCGAAGUCAUUCAUCCAAUACUUCCAAUAUCAUUUCAGAAGGUGACAUUGUAAUCGUUAACAACGAAAAUCAACCACGUAGCCUUUGGAAGCUUGGAAAGGUGGAGAAACUCAUUAGAGGAGAUGAUGGACUUUCGCGCGGUGUCAAAGUCAGUACUAAUGGAAAAUCAUUUAAUCUACGCCGUCCAAUCCAGUUCUUGUAUCCAUUAGAAGUCAGUCAUAAGACAGAAACCGACAACCCAGUGGUCAUCGAUAUAGUUUCACAAGAAGCCAAAACUAUUGAAACAGAAACCAUACGUCCACGUCGUAAGGCAGCCGUGUCGGCAGAUAUCAAACGUAAAGGAUGGAUAACUCAAUUAACCCAGGAUAACGACGAUAUUUCAUAAUCCAUUCUAAUCAUUAUAUUUGUGUUACAAUUUAUAGGACUCCAAUAAUCCUUUACAAGAGUUCUUAUCCGUUUAUGUUAAUUUUCCAUGUUUAUUAUCUGUGUAUUAUUAUACUGUGUUCUAUUUCCCAUUGUGCCAGGACUCAAUUACCAAAGACUCAUAUUGUGAUAACCCUUUUUAUACGCCCACAUUGAAAUAUGGUCGUAUAUUGUUGUCGCCCCCGUCCGUCCGUCCGGCGUCCACAAGUAGAGGCUAAAGUUAAUAUCCGAUUGUUUAAGGUCAUGAGACGAAGAAGCCUAUUGAUUUUUGGCGAUUUCCGAUAAUUACUGCCAGAGUUAUGGCCCUUGAUCACUUCAAAAAAUCAUGUGGACGCUCUAGAGGCCAAAGUUAAUAUCCGAUUGACUUUAAAUUUAUACACAGUGUUUAAGGUCAUGAAACGAAGAAGCCUAUUGAUUGCCAGCGAUUUCCGAUAAUUACUGCCAGAGUUAUGGCCCUUGAUCACUUCAAAAAAAUCUUGUGGACGCUCUAGAGGCCAAAGUUAAUAUCCGAUUGACUUUAAAUUUAUACACAGUGUUUAAGGUCAUGAGACGAAGAAGCCUAUUGAUUUUCAGCGAUUUCCGAUUACUGCCAGAGUUAUGGCCCUUGAUCGCUUCAAAAAAUCUUGUGGACGCUCUAGAGGCCAAAGUUAAUAUCCGAUUGACUUUAAAUUUAUACACAGUGUUUAAGGUCAUGAGACAAAGAAUCCUAUUGAUUCUCAGCGAUUUCCGAUAAUUACUGCCAGAGUUAUGGCCCUUAAUCGCUUCAAAAAAUCUUGUGGACGCUCUACGAGGCCAAAGUUAAUAUUCGAUUGACUUUAAAUUUAUACACAGUGUUUAAGGUCAUGAGACAAAGAAGCCUAUUGAUUCUCAGCGAUUUUCGAUAAUUACUGCCAGAGUUAUGGCCCUUGAUCACUUCAAAAAAAUCUUGUGGACGCUCUAGAGGCCAAAGUUAAUAUCCGAUUGACUUUAAAUUUAUACACAGUGUUUAAGGUCAUGAGACGAAGAAGCCUAUUGAUUUUCAGCGAUUUCCGAUAAUUACUGCCAGAGUUAUGGCCCUUGAUCGCUUCAAAAAAUCUUGUGGACGCUCUAGAGGCCAAAGUUAAUAUCCCAUUGACUUUAAAUUUAUACACAGUGUUUAAGGUCAUGAGACGAUGAAGCCUAUUGAUUUUCAGCGAUUUCCGAUAAUUACUGCCAGAGUUAUGGCCCUUGAUCACUUCAAACAAUCUUGUGGACGCUCUAAAGGCCAAAGUUAAUAUCCCAUUGACUUUAAAUUUAUACACAGUGUUAAAGGUCAUGAGACGAUGAAGCCUAUUGAUUUUCGGCGAUUUCCGAUUACUGCCAGAGUUAUGGCCCUUGAUCGCUUCAAAAAAUCUUGUGGACGCUCUGGAGGCCAAAGUUAAUAUCCGAUUGACUGUAAAUUUAUACACAGUGUUUAAGGUCAUGAGACGAAGAAGCCUAUUGAUUUUCAGCAAUUUACGAUAAUUACUGCCAGAGUUAUGGCCCUUGAUCACUUUGAAAAAUCUUGUAGACGCUCUAGAGUCUAAAGUUAAUAUCCGAUUGACUUUAAAUUUUAUACACAGUGUUUAAGGUCAUGAGACGAAGACGUCUAUUCAUUUUCAGUGAUUUUCGAUAAUUACUGCCAGAGUUAUGGCCCUUGAUCACUUCAAAAAACCUUGUGGAUGCUCUAAAGGCUGAAGUUAAUAUCUGAUUGACUUUAAAUUUAUACACAGUGUUUGAGGUCACGAAGCGAAGAAUCCUAUUGAUUUUCAAAGAUUUCUGAUAAUUACUGCCAAAGUUCUGGCCCUUCUUGAUCACUUUGAAAAAUCUUCUGGACACUCUAGAGACCAAAGUUAAUAUCCGAUUGACUUCAGAUUGAUACACAGAGUUUAAGAUCUUGAGACGAACAAGUAUAUUGAUUUUCAAUGAAUUUUUAUGACUUGGAACAGCUAAAUCCAUGAUACAGUAUUAAAAGUUUUGUAUACAAAACGUUAGCAUGGGGGAGAACUUUAUAAAAACCAAACAAAUUCUAAUAGUUUUCUGAGUUGUUGCUCUUAAUCAGAUUUUAGUGUAUUAUAAAUGUUUCAUUACCGAAAAAAGUAAAAAUAUGCGACAACUCUUGUUGACUGCCCGGACGAUUUAGCUGCUGUGGGCGUAUGUUUCGUUGCCUGGCAACCUAUCUUUUAAAUUUUCAUUUAUCAGGGCCAUCAGAGGGGAGUGUGAGAGAGACUAAUAUAACCAAGACUAUAAUACUGUCCCUUUGAAAACUCUCCUGCAUUAGAAACCAUAAUUUUGUUAUUGUUGUUGAUUAAGCCAUGCUCCAUUUUCACUUUCAUUUUAUUUGUAUCAGUAUUUAUCAGUGAAUACUUACAUAAAAUCCAUAAACCAAAAGAACAAUUUGUCUUCUAUGAAUCGUAAAAGACACCACUCAAGGCGCCAAAGCUACGAAAAGCUGCUACAGUUACAUGUACAUUUUGUGAUUGAUAAGGUAUUAAAGACUAUUCUCAAUGGCCAACGAUUCCCCAGGUAUAUAUCAAUGGUGAUUUUAUUGGUGGCUGUGAUGUAAUAUUAGAAAUGCACAAAAAUGGGGACUUAAUUGAAGAACUUCAGAAAGCUGGCUUAAGAUCAGCUUUGCUUGAUAUGUAGAUUGGGAUCAAUAGGAUUAAAUUUUUUAGUAAAUAGA